rnacentral:rRNA from 1 species
CCUACGGGGGGCUGCAGUAAGGAAUAUUGGUCAAUGGACGAAAGUCUGAACCAGCCAUCCCGCGUGCAGGAUGAAAGCCCUAUGGGUUGUAAACUGCUUUUAGCAGAGAAGAAAAGCUUCCAUUUAUGGGGGUCUGACGGUAUCUGCAGAAUAAGCACCGGCUAACUCCGUGCCAGCAGCCGCGGUACUACGGAGGGUGCGAGCGUUAUCCGGAAUUACUGGGUUUAAAGGGUGCGUAGGCGGAGUAUUAUGAAAUCUUGUCGCUUAACGAGAAAAUUGCCAAUGAUACUGGUACUCGUGAAUUGGGUUGGGGUGAGCGGAAUGUGACAUGUGCGGUGAAAUGCAUAGAUAUGUCAUGGAACACCAAUUGCGAAGGCAGCUAACUGGGCCUUGAUUGACGCUGAGGCACGAAAGCGUGGGUAGCGAACAGGAUUAGAUACCCUAGUAGUC